UACGUAGGGUGCGAGCGUUAAUCAGAAUUACUGGGCGUAAAGCGUGCGCAGGCGGUUCGUUGUGUCCGUCGUGAAAGCCCCGGGCUUAACCUGGGAACUGCGAUGGAAACUAGCGAGCUGGAGUGUGGCAGAGGGGGGUGGAAUUCCGCGUGUAGCAGUGAAAUGCGUAGAGAUGCGGAGGAACACCGAUGGCGAAGGCAGCCCCCUGGGCUAACACUGACGCUCAGGCACGAAAGCGUGGGGAGCAAACAGG
rnacentral:rRNA from 1 species